UUACAUCGGAAACGGCCUCCUGGUGGUCUUUGGGACCUCACAAUCUGGGCACAACAGUAGUAAUACUGUUCUCAGCAUUUCUCUAUUAAAGAGAAUAGUGAAGAUUCUGAAUCAAAGUACAGUAUACAAAUUCCUCCUCUCUCUUCCACAGAAAGAAGCCAUAAAAUGUGAAUAGAAGCUAUUUAUGAUAACUAAAAACAAGCAAAAAGUAACCAACCCUCAAGCAAGGCUUUAUACUUUAUAUAAAAAAAUUAACUCAAAUUGUAUUGUCUAAAUGUGAAAUGUGCAAUUGUACAACAUGUGAAGUAAACAUAGGAGAAAAAUACCUAUGACCUACCAAGGAAAUCUCUAAAAUUGUGAACCAGCCUCAGGAUUCAAUAUGGCACCACAUGGAACUAACAGUACAAUGAAUAAUACAUUGUGAUGUGCAAUGGAAUGCUAUACAGCAAUGAGAAUGAAUGAACUAUGUGUACAAAAUAUGCACUAAAUAUACAUUACAAAAUACAGAAGAACAUGAGGAAUAAAAUGCGCUCAAUUCAUUUCUACGACUGUUUACCUUAUGCCUGCCAUGUGCUGCUGUGCCUAAUCAAGUUGGCUGGGCCCACAGAGGUGAAGAAUUCAGAGUCAGACCUGCAGCGAUUUCUACCUGGCUGGCAGCGCCCUCCGGAUGUGAUGAUCCUUACAAGGAAUAAACCCACUUGCUCUGAAUGCACAACCAUUGUCUGGUUAUGAUCCUCCUAACAGUGUUCAUACAUCAAAGCAGCACUCAUUUCAAAGCCUUUUUGAAUUAAAUUAAAUAUUUGAAGCACUAGAAAAAAAUCUUCCUAAAAAUAACCUAUGCUUACUGAAUUCCUUUCAUCUAAUGCCAUGUUCUGACAAAAAAAGUAAUUGGGGUUUUUCUUGCAUGACUUUGCUCUCUCGUAUUCUUGCCAUCUGAUUGGUUAUGGCGUGGCCAGACCACUGCUUCUCAUCUCUCAUUUGGCAUGUUAUUAGUCUAAACAGAAUUCUAUGCAGGCAAACAUUAAUACUGAUACAGAAAAUGAG